rnacentral:tRNA from 1 species
GGAAUGUAGCUCAGUGGUAGAGUGCUUGCCUAUAGUGCAUGAAGCCUUGGGUUCAAUCUUAUCACCA